UGGCCCAGGAGACCAGCACGUUGUGUAGGGAGAUGCCCUGUCCUGUCCUUCCGGACUCGGCUUGGGGAGCCAGGUGCCUCUGCUGUCUGACUCUUUGUCUCUUGGGUGCAGGUUUGCUGGAAGGCGAAGUCACCCAGUCCCCAAGGCACCUAAUCAAAGCAAAGGGAGGAAAGUCCACUCUGAAAUGCUAUCCCGUCUCUGGACACGUCAGUGUGUCCUGGUAUCAGCAAGCCCCUGGUCAGGGCCCCCAGUUCCUCAUUGAGUAUUAUGAAACGUCGCAGAGAGCUAAAGGAAACAUGCCUGGCCGAUUCUCAGCUCAGCAGUUCAGUGACUACCACUCAGAGCUGAACAUGAGCGCCUUGGAGCUGGGGGACACGGCUGUGUAUCUCUGUGCCGGCAGCUAG